rnacentral:lncRNA from 1 species
AUGUAUCUUUCCUCCUCUACCUUCCAGACCGUCAGCAACCCAGUCACCACCCAGGCUGGAACGGGCAGCAGGCUGGCUCUCAACGUCACCACGUCCGGGAAUUCUGUCAACAUUACCACGGGGAUGACCAACACAAGCGUGUCGGGCACUGUUUACACUGACGGCCAGCUGGCUGUGUACCAGGUUGACCAGGUACUGCUCCCAGUUGACCUGUUUACCCCGAAGCCGCCAGCACCGGCUCCUGCGCCGGAGAAGGCGAAAAAGAAGAAGAAGGCGGAGGAAGAUGCAGCGGACAGUCCUGGGGGAGUGGCCAAGGAUAAGUCCGGUGGAGGGAGGUUUGUGGUUAUGAAUUGGGUGCUAGUUGGGGUUGGGGUUUCGGUUUCAGCGAUGUCGUUGUGACAAAAGGAAGUUUAUGAUCAAGUAUUUUGGUAAUGAAUGGAGAGCCCAACGCUACUUUGUGUUCUCUUCUUUAUCUUCUUUCUUGCUUCUCCUUUUCUGGAUUUGUUCGAGUGACAAAAGUUGUAUUAUUUUGUGUUACGGUUUGAUUAAUGGUUUGGUCGGUUGGUUGGUUUUUCGGGGCACAAAACUCAAUCUCUCUUAGCUUUGUUAAAUUAGAUUAGACGAAAAAAACACUAUCGUCUACGUGGUUAAUAGCAACAUAACAUGGACGUAAUUUCCGAUUUAAU